GAAAUGAAAGCAAGACUAGUCUUCUUGCAGAAACUAGACAUUUUGUAAAAACAAAUGGAGCAGAGAGAAGACUGGAUGUCCGUGACUGAAACAACCGUGACAAGACAAUCUCUCAGUAUGUCAGAUGGAUAAAAUAGCAACAGGCUUCUCUGUGGAAAUCUGAUUGAAACACACUCAUAUGAGGUGUCUGGGUUUUUCUCAGAGAAUGGAAAUUAAGAUUGCAGUAACUUUUCUACACCUGUUCGAAUACAUUCCAGUCCUCCAUUUUUUUCCCAGUAAGGACACAGAGAGGCUUGGACAUGUCCUGUAGCUUUUGGAUCCAGUUCUGAAUUGCUGAAGAUUUCACAUGAAGCAAUUUUUCUGGGGAUAAUGCCUCUAACUUGGGCUGAAAUUGUAUCAGCGCCUGUGGCAUUUCAGAACCAGAGAAGGCCAAAGUGCCACACAGCAAGCUACAUUUACUGCAGUCACCAGACAGCAGAACAAAAACAUUUUAUUCCACCCUAUUGUUUGGCAGUAAAUAGGAGCCUCUGGGGAAGGGAAAAGGACUCCAAAAGGUUUCCAGGCUUCUGACCUACUGCUGGAAGAUCGGAUCUGCUAUUUCAACAUGUAUCUACUCUGAUGUCUCCAUUGUCCAUUCUCCAACCACUCUUCAACUGCUGCACACCUCUCCCAAGCCCCAGCAUGUUUCCCCAGUACUGAGACUGGAGAGGUAGUACCUGAAACAUCCCUGACUAUUAAUUGACUACAUCUGCCUAUUGAUUUGACAUGUUAUAGGUAGGUCUGUGGAUAAUACAAAUCCUCAACUCUGAAAGAGAAAAUGGAGUCACGAUGAUUGCAUGAGCCUCACCCUCCUUUUGCAGAAGGCUACAGUCACUGCCUCUGUUGCUGGGCAAACUUCUCUGCUGUUGUGCUGCCAGAUAUAUAGAUGCAGACGAUUCUCCAAGUUUCAGUCAGCUUUUUUACUUUUUUCCCUCCUUUUUUAAGUAAUCAAAGUCUGAGUUGUUGAUUUCUCCUCUAGCUAAGAAGCCCUGCAGUCUGUAUUUUGUCACAGGUGUAGAUAUACCACUGUCAUGCAACAGUUAUUCUACAAAGUGACAUUGAAGCCUAUAGAGUGUGCUGUUGUUCAGAUGGCGUUACUUUAUUUUUCUACUGAGAUGGCUAUGCAUCUCAGCCGAGUCCUGGCUGUGAGCUAAGUAUCAACAACGUACUUUAUUUUCUCUCAGAUAUUUCUCGCUAAGGCAAGCCCCCAAGGCUAUUGGUAGCAGUCUGUUUGAGUAGGAAUUAACUGAAAACAGUCUUAAGUUUUGAGUCUACAGGAAUGUAAACCCUAGUCUAACUGCUGAAAUGUCUGCAGGCUUGCUCUUGAACAUGGAUCCAAACCUCACAUGAGUACAAGGACCCCUGUACAUGAGCAGCAGAGUGCCCAGAAGGCACGGAAGGCUUCUGCAUGAUAUAUGUGACAUAGGCAAAGAAGAGUGGCAGGUUGCAAAGUACAGGGGAUCAGCUAUUUUAACCUGAAGAGCUAUCCUGACCUCCCACCUGUGAUGGAUGCUGAUGAGGGUAUCUGCUCUCACAUGUGGCCCUUCCCAGUAGCAACAACAGCAGAAGUCCUCGGAUUUUCUGGGCUAACCCAGCUCUUUCCCUCUCCCCUCUGAAGCCAGAAGACUGGCUUCAACUCUCCUUCUUCCCCUUCAGGCAGCAAAGAGACACUUGAGAAUGGGGUAAGAAAUGCUGCAAGCAGGGGGGAGCGGUUGUUUGGGGUAGGAAGGGAGAGAAGGGAUGGUGGUCUGUAACAAACGGUGAGUCAAAUGUUAAGGCAGAGGAAGAACUGUAGUCAGCUGUCAAUGCCACUUUUUUCUAUCCUUUAACCAAAGCCCUAUUUGAAAUCUGAAAUCUCCUCCUUUCCUGCCCUUACAUGUUUUCUCUCUCAUUCUACCACCACUGCAAAACUUAGGUUUACCUAUAGAACUGAGAAGUUUGGAGCUGGCUCUGCCUUGUGUCUGUGCCUAUAGGUUAAAGGCAGUCUGCAGGCCUGAAACAGGAGGAAGAGUGGAGUGCAAAACUUUGAUAGCUGCUGCUGGCCUGCAUUUGCAAGUUAAUGUUGCCCUUUUUCAAGGGUUGCAGUAGUACUGCUUAUUGUGCACUUGCCAGCAUCCGGGGCAUUUGGUUCAGACUGAGCUAAAUAACCCUUAUGCUUAUUAGUUACCCUAUGCAUGGUGUAACCUCUGGCUUAAAAGCAAGUGUGUGUCACUUGAAUGGAGAAGGGAGGAUGGGCUAAAUUCUUUCCUGACUGGUAGCUGUAAAUAAAUAUUAGAGCUGAUCAAACA
ensembl:lncRNA